UAGAGUUUGAUCCUGGCUCANGAUGAACGCUGGCGGUAUGCGUUAACACAUGCAAGUCNAACGAGAUUCUUCGGAAUCUAGUGNCGGACGGGUGAGUAACGCGUGAGAACCUGCCUCGAGGAUGGGGACAACAGCGGGAAACUGCUGCUAAUACCCAAUAANCCGAAAGGUAAAAGAUUAAUCNCUUCGAGAGGGGCUCGCGUCCNAUUAGCUAGUUGGUGGGGUAAGAGCCUACCAAGGCNGCGAUCGGUAGCUGGUCUGANAGGAUGAGCAGCCACACUGGGACUGAGACACGGCCCANACUCCUACGGGAGGCAGCANUGGGGAAUUUUCCGCANUGNGCGAAAGCCUGACGGAGCAAUACCGCGUGAGGGAGGAAGGCCUUUGGGUUGUAAACCUCUUUUCUGGGGNAAGAAGUCCUGACGGUACCCCANGAAUCAGCAUCGGCUAACUCCGUGCCAGCAGCCGCGGUAAUACGGANGAUGCAAGCGUUAUCCGGAAUUAUUGGGCGUAAAGCGUCCGCAGGUGGUACAUCAAGUCNGCGGUCAAAAACCGGANCUUAACUCCGGNCAGGCAGUGGAAACUGGUGAACUAGAGUACGGUAGGGGUAGAGGGAAUUCCCAGUGUAGCGGUGAAAUGCGUAGAGAUUGGAAGAACACCAGUGGCGAAGGCGCUCUACUGGGCCGUAACUGACACUGAGGGACGAAAGCUAGGGGAGCGAAAGGGAUUAGAUACCCCUGUAGUCCUAGCUGUAAACGAUGGAUACUAGGCGUUGCUUGUAUCGACCCGAGCAGUGCCGUAGCUAACGCGUUAAGUAUCCCGCCUGGGGAGUACGCACGCAAGUGUGAAACUCAAAGGAAUUGACGGGGGCCNGCACAAGCGGUGGAGUAUGUGGUUUAAUUCGAUGCAACCCGAAGAACCUUACCAGGGCUUGAAUGUCCGGAACUUCGGGGAAACUCGGAGGUGCCUUCCGGAGCCNGAACACAGGUGGUGCAUGGCUGUCGUCAGCUNGUGUCGUGAGAUGUUGGGUUAAGUCCCGNAACGAGCGCAACCCUCGUCNUUAGUUGCCAGCAUUGAGGGUGGGCACUCUAGGGAGACUGCCGGUGACAAACCGGAGGAAGGUGGGGAUGACGUCAAGUCAGCAUGCCCCUUACGUCCUGGGCGACACACGUANUACAAUGGUCGGGACAAAGGGCAGCGAGCUCGCGAGAGUAAGCGAAUCUCANCAAACCCGGUCUCAGUUCAGAUUGCAGGCUGCAACUCGCCUGCAUGAAGGAGGAAUCGCUAGUAAUCGCAGGUCAGAAUACUGCGGUGAAUUCGUUCCCGGGCCUUGUACACACCGCCCGUCACACCAUGGAAGCUGGCCACGCCCGAAGUCGUUACCCUAACCCUGCGGGGAGGGGGACGCCGAAGGCAGGGCUAGUGACUGGGGUGAAGUCGUAACAAGGUAGCC
rnacentral:rRNA from 1 species